AUGGGGGAUUUCAAUAUUCUCCGAUAUCAGCAGGAGAAAAACAAUGACAGGUUCGACACUAGAUGGCCAUUCCUUUUUAAUGCUAUUAUUGAUAGUCUCAAUUUGCGGGAACUUACCUUAUCUGGGCACCAAUAUACCUGGGCCAAUAACAGAUCUAUCCCAACUUUCGAAAAAUUAGACCGGGUGCUCGUUACCACCGACUGGGAAUUUAAGUACCCCCUAGCUUCGGUGAGAGCACUGGAGAGAAUUGAGGCUUUAUCUGAUCAUGCUCCGUUGCUAACUGAUUUCGGUCAACCUGCUCCUAGUAAUAGCCGCCAUCAGUUCAAAUUCGAAUUGGGAUGGCUCACUAGAGAGGGUUUUCAUGAGUUGGUAAAAAAAGUGUGGCAACACCAACCUUGUGGUGACACACCAAUUCAAUGA
rnacentral:rRNA from 1 species